CCGGCCGCGCGGCGGGUCUGCGGCGGCGACAGCGACUCAAGUCCGGGCUCCCUGACCGGUCACCUCCCGGCCACCCUGCCGAGCAGCCGCGGCUUGAGAGCUGCCAAGAAGUGAAUCUCUGACCUGACGACGUUUCUUACUUGGAGUAGGGGCCUUGGGCACACUCCACACUUAGCCUGGCAGAAGCGGCCACGGAUUGCCCGGAUUCCACACUUGGAUCACCCAGUCGGAAAUGCCUCGUACACCUCAAGACAUCUUACAAUUUCACACACACACAGAUGCUGACUUUGAUGUGUCUGUCAGCACAACCUUCAGCCCCAACCGACAGGAAUGCGUCAGAAACUUCGUUCACCACCGUUCUCACCAGGUAACAAAGGAGCAGGGCUUUCUCUGUGAAGUCGCUGGGAACUGAUGCUGCUGGCAUUUUCCUUGGAGCUU